UACGUAGGGUCCGAGCGUUGUCCGGAAUUACUGGGCGUAAAGAGCUCGUAGGUGGUUUGUCGCGUUGUUCGUGAAAACUCACAGCUUAACUGUGGGCGUGCGGGCGAUACGGGCAGACUAGAGUACUGCAGGGGAGACUGGAAUUCCUGGUGUAGCGGUGGAAUGCGCAGAUAUCAGGAGGAACACCGGUGGCGAAGGCGGGUCUCUGGACAGUAACUGACGCUGAGGAGCGAAAGCGUGGGGAGCGAACAGG
rnacentral:rRNA from 1 species